AAGGGUGUGGGCCUCCCUGGCUGGUCUAGCGAGUGGUGCCUGGGGUGGAGUGGGCAGGCGGGUGUAGCCAGGGCUGGAGAUGUGCUUUGCCUGGCCCAGCUCUCACAGGGGUCUCUGGAAAAUGGGGCACCCACUCCCACCUCCACCUGUCUCCAACCUGGGAUCCUGGAGGCCGGAAAAGUGCUCUUCCAUUUGAGAGAACAAAUGGGGAGUCAAGAGGUCUAUUCUUUUCACCCUGGGUCUGUUACCUGUUUGCUGUGUGACCCUGUCUGGGUUGGACCCCCAGCCCCUCUGGAUGAUCACAGGUGGACAGUCUGAGCAGACACAGGCUUCCUGGUCAGGGACAGAACCAGGUCUACCAACCCACCAAGGCACCCUUGGGGAACUGCCCACGCUGUCUCCCGGGGGCCUGCCUCCCUUACCCCUCCCCUCCACUUCCCCAGGCCCUGCCCCUCGGUGCCCUCCCUGAGGGCCCUGCAUGCUUGUGCCUGGGGUGCUCAGCACCUCUGCUAUCUUGGAUACCUGUGUACUUAGCCCAGGGGGAAAGGGCACUGUCUACCUGUCACAGGGCACCAAGCGAAAGCCAAGAGCCCUCACUUUGCGGGGGAGGGACAGCACAGCAGAGGUGUGGCUUCUGGACACAAGCAACCAUAGCUGUGUGACCUUGGACAGGUGGCUCAGCGUCUCUGGACCUCUGCUAAGCAGCAGGGCUGGACAGGACACACUCUCAGGGGCCUCUUGGCUUGGGAAAACUGCAUUGACUCCAGGACUCCAGGCGAGGGAAGAUGCACCCGACUCUAACCAUACCCCCUCUGCCUCCUCGGGCUGAGGCCUCUGCCAUUCUCCCAAACGUAUGCAAUCAGGCCCGCGCUGGGCCUCCCAGCCAUGCCGGCCUCCUCAUAUGCAAUAUUUCUUCUGGCUUCUCGUGGGGAUGGGUCAUCCCUGACUUGACAUUUCCUGACACCUUUCCCCAGUGAGCGCCCUGCCUGCCUAUGCAUUUUGGGAACAGCCCCUGUGACAUGUCCCCUUACACCGCCCCCUCCCCCAAAGCUGUAUUUUUCUCUGGCUGAGAUUAGAACAUAUUCCUUGUAAAAUAUUUUUCUACAUCGGGUUUUCUUAGGGCUCUUGGGAAGCACAAACGCCAAGGGGCUAUAUUGCAAAGGCCGCUUAUGGUCUGUUUGGGGCCCUCAUCUAAGUCUUUGUCCCACCAGGGGUUGCAGUGGCUUGGGGUAAGUGCUAUGGGGAUGAUUUUUUUUAAAAAUAAAAUUAUUUAAAUCCA